CCUGGUGGCGAUAGCGAGGGGGAACCACCCGAUCCCAUUCCGAACUCGGAAGUUAAGCCCCUCAGCGCCGAUGAUACUGCGUCUUAAGGCGUGGGAACGUAGGACACCGCCAGGA
rnacentral:rRNA from 1 species